rnacentral:sRNA from 1 species
GAGACGGGUGAGGGGAAGGCACUGAAAUGGUCCUGGAGAGCUAUUGUUGGGGACUGGGGACCAGCUGUCAUCCCUUUUCCUGUGGGCAGGGGAGGCAGUGGUGGGAUCCCAUGAGACCCGGACUCUGUGGCCUGCCUUGAAAAGAUCUUUUGAGGUCGAGGAGGUCGAGACACCCAACUCCACCCCACCCCGGAGGGUCCAGACUCCCCUACUCCGAGCCACUGUGGCCAGCUCCACCCAGAAAUUCCAGGACCUGGGCGUGAAGAACUCAGAGCCGUCGGCCCGCCACGUGGACUCCCUAAGCCAGCGCUCCCCCAAGGCGUCCCUGCGGAGGGUGGAGCUCUCGGGCCCCAAGGCGGCUGAGCCGGUGUCCCGGCGCACUGAGCUGUCCAUUGACAUCUCGUCCAAGCAGGUGGAGAACGCCGGGGCCAUCGGGCCGUCCCGGUUCGGGCUCAAGAGGGCUGA